rnacentral:lncRNA from 1 species
AACCAUUUUCCAUUGUUUUCUCUUCUCCACUCUCUCUUCCUUUGCUUCAACAAAACCUUAAUUCCUCUCUCUAGCAGCAAAUCGAACUCUCUCCUUAAUUUCUCUCUAUAGCAAUUCGAACUCAAAGGAGAUUACUGAUAUCUGCAGCAAUUUGUUUCUUCUAAAAUCGAAUAGCAGCAGGUAACCCUUCUUUAACUCUCACAUCUUAUAUCAAUUACCUAAUUAAUUAUUCAAAAUGGCAGCAGUAGUAUUCUUAACAGUUCUAUCUCAUUUAGUUGGUUGUGGGAUUUUUUUUUUUUUUUUUUGUAAUGUGGGAAUAACUCAAAGGAGAUUACUGAUAUCUGCAGCAAUUUCGAAUAGAUUGGGUCCAAUUCAAACCAGUUUCGAUUCUUCAAUUUACUUAAAGAUUAAGCAAUUUAACCAGUUUCUUCUAAAAUCGAAUAGCAGCAGGUUCUUCUUCUUCUUCAGUAGCAAUUUUAGGUUCUGCCUUUUGUUUUAAUCUCUGCAAAUUGUUGUUUGAUUGUCCAAUCUCCAAUAUCUCCAAUCUAACUAGCGGCGACAACAGCAGCAGCAGCAGGAGUAGGUUCUUCUUCUUCUUUAGUAGAAUUUAUUUGACUUUCCAUUAGAAGAAGAAUUAAAACACUUCCAAUAUAAUUUUUGUCAGUGUUAUUGUCAUGAUUUAAAACAACAUAUGAAAAAAGUAAAUGGUCUUCAUGCCCAUGCUUUGCAGUGUUAUCCGCUGUAAUUGGGUUACAAAUUUUGGCGUGUAAUCAUAUCGUAGUCACAAAACUCGCAAUCCCCGUAGCUGCAAACCAAACCAUAAAACCAAAACCCAUCGUUAUUGGUUGCAGAGACAAGUAGAGUCUGAAUCUUAUUCUUUUUUUUAUUGGAGGUAACUUAUAGUUAAACCUAUAUUUUGGUAUGCCCCGUAGGUAAUCACAACCCUAUAAACAGAAAGUUGUUUUUUUUCAGAUCAAUCUGUUCAUUACCGAGUAGAAACGAUUUUUGGACUCAAAUAAUUUGAAAACAAAUAGGUCAAAUCAUUUGUGGAUAUUUACAACUUGGCAACAGUAAAAUUUCAAAUCUACGAUAAACUGUUAGAAAAAUAAUAUCGAAUGGGCAUUGCAUCAGCAUGCCGGCUUUCUUUUCUCUCGAAUCUCAGUAACUUAAUUUGUAUUUUUUUCAGUGUUUUCCCUUGGUCAGCAAUCUUGGUCUGAUUUUAGCAUGAAGUUGUUAAUUUACAAAUAAGUUUUCCAAAUUGAUUCAAACAAUCUAUAUUAUAAUCUACAAAGGAUAGAUAAAAUAGACAAGUUGGGUUAUAAGAAGCGGUUAUAUUUAGAGACGUACUGAUCUUUAGAUUUUUUUUACAAAUGACACAUUAUUGAUACAUCCGCCAUUAUCCUAUAUCUUGCUUUUAUAAUUGAUAUAGUGAGUUCAAAUUUUGGGUGGUAUAAUAUCAAAAUCCUAGGAUUUAAAAAUAGUGCAGUAUUAGUACGCCAUAGGUAGUACUACACAUCUCAAGUACUACCAAAAGGUAACAUUCCUACACCAUAUUUAAUGUUGAAUAGUAUCGAUUUUGAUGGAACAUAUAAAUCUACUUUUGUAUCAGUUCUUUUACACGUUUCGAAGAAAAUAUAUGUAAUAGGGAUGAACUGCCAUAUAUCUGCAGGAAUUGUUAUGGAUCUUAUAUUAGUAGGAUCUUAUAUUAGUAGGAAUUGUUAUGGAUCUUAUAUUGUUAUAAUAGUAGAAAUGAAAUACAAUCAGUUUUAUAGAAACAGUUAAGGUUAUUCUAAAUUUGAAUAACCUGUAGGGCAUAUUUUUUUUAACUUUGAAAAUAUAAAUAAAUGUUCUUUCCAUAUCUCUUAAUAGGCGAGAAUUAAUCAUGGUUUUAACUGAUACUCCUUCAUUGAUUUGUUUCACAGGUUUCACUGUUGUUAAAAAGGUUCAAAAUCUGGAAUAAAGCUGUUCAAACCAAGAUACUCUUAUCAAGUUGUUCCAGUCUUCCAGAGUAUCUUCUAUCCAC